rnacentral:rRNA from 1 species
UACGAAGGGGGCUAGCGUUGCUCGGAAUCACUGGGCGUAAAGCGCACGUAGGCGGCCUCUUAAGUCGGUGGUGAAAUCCUGGAGCUCAACUCCAGAACUGCCUUCGAUACUGGGAGUCUCGAGUUCGGGAGAGGUGAGUGGAACUGCGAGUGUAGAGGUGAAAUUCGUAGAUAUUCGCAAGAACACCAGUGGCGAAGGCGGCUCACUGGCCCGAUACUGACGCUGAGGUGCGAAAGCGUGGGUAGCAAACAGG